rnacentral:rRNA from 1 species
GCCAACGGUCGUAUCACGUUGAAAACACCAGUUAUCGUCCGAUCACUGCGGUCAAGCAACAUUGGGCAUGGUUAGUACUUGGAUGAAUGACCGCUUGGGAACAUCGUAUACUGUUGGUA